GGUCUUAUAUUCACUAAUGAUAUAAAAUUGCAAAUUUUAAGGAGUAAAAAUAACAUUACUAAGGCUU
rnacentral:tRNA from 1 species